rnacentral:lncRNA from 1 species
UUCUCUUGUUUCGUCUAAGGCUUCUUCUUCAUCAUCUUCCUCCUUAACUCCUUCUUCAACAGCUUCUUUUGCUCCUCCUCCUCCAGUAAAAGCUCAAUCUCCUCAUGCCUCAUCAACUGGUCCAAAAGCUUCGCUGCAGUGGAAACCUGUUCCAUCGAAGGCUUCUUCUUCGUCAUUUUCCUUCUUAGCUCCUUCUUCAACAGCUUCCUUUGCUUCGCCAUCUCCGGCAAAAGCUCAGCCUCCUCAUGCCACAUCAGCUGGUGCAAAAGCUUCGCAGCUAUCGGAACCUUCCUUGCCCUCUCUUGUUUCGUCUAAGGCUCUUCCUUCCCCAGUAAAAGCUCAAUCUCCUCAUGCCGCAUCGGCUGGUCCAAUAGCUUCGCUGCAGUGGAAACCUGUUUCAUCGAAGGCUUCUUCUUCGUCAUUUUCCUUCUUAGCUCCUUCUUCAACAGCUUCCUUUGCUUCGCCAUCUCCGGCAAAAGCUCAGCCUCCUCAUGCCACAUCAGCUGGUGCAAAAGCUUCGCAGCUAUCGGAACCUUCUUUGCCCUCUCUCGUUUUGUCUAAAGCUGCUUCUUCAUCAUCUUCCUCCUUAACUCCCUCUUCAACAGCUUCUUCUGCUUCUCCAUCUCCAGCAAAAGCUCAGUCUCCUCACGCCGCAUCAGGCAGUGGAUCUCCUGCAAG